rnacentral:misc_RNA from 1 species
GAGAACCAAGAGAUCCGUUGUUGAAAGUUUUGACUAUUGUAAUAAUAAAUCAAGUUUGACUGUAAAUAAAAAGUUUGGUUUAGUUAUAACCUCUGGCGGUAGGAUUGCUCCCGCCACCAAAGAAAUUUGUUCAAUAAAAAACACAUGUGGUGCAAUUAAGCAAAUCAGUAAUGAUCCUU